rnacentral:rRNA from 1 species
UACGGAGGAUGCGAGCGUUAUCCGGAUUUACUGGGCGUAAAGGGAGCGCAGGCGGCGCGCCAAGUCUGAUGUGAAACCCCGGGGCUCAACCCCGGGCAUGCAUUGGAAACUGGCGGGCUGGAGUGCCGGAGAGGUAAGCGGAAUUCCUAGUGUAGCGGUGAAAUGCAUAGAUAUCACGCAGAACCCCGAUUGCGAAGGCAGCCUUCCGGCGCCCUACUGACGCUGAGGCACGAAAGUGCGGGGAUCGAACAGG